UCAGUCGGCCGGACGGCCGCUCCGGCAAGGAUCGAAAGGUCGCCGGGGAGGAAAGUCCGGGCUCCAUCGACAUACGGUGCCGGAUAACACCCGGCGGGGGCGACCCCAGGGAAAGUGCCACAGAGAACGAACCGCCUGAUUUUCGGAUCAGGUAAGGGUGAAAAGGUGCGGUAAGAG
rnacentral:RNase_P_RNA from 1 species